GGGUUUGAAUAAAAAACUACGGGUCAACCUGUGAAGAAGAAGAUUGAAGAAACGUAGACUGAACAUCAUCUAUUCAUCUUCCAUGGAGCGGGUUUAACCUGAAUGUCACUGAACAUCAUCUUCAAUAAAGCGGGUUUAAUUUAGAAGAGUAAUUCACCAUCUUCAAUUAGAACAUCAUCUUCGUUAGGGUUUGAAUAGAAUCACAGGUAGAUUAAUUCUUCAUUAUCUUCGUUAGGGUUUGAAAGUUCGAUAACGUCGUUUUCCGGUUUGUACAGGUUAUUUUUAAUUUGAUUUUGAUUAUUAUUUGUUUAAGUUUUUGACGAUUUAGAUGUGUUUGUUAUGUUUAUUGUUUGUUUUAUGAUAAAAUUUAACGAAUUAUGUUAGAAAAAUAAAGAUUUGCAUGUGGAAUUAUGUUUGGAACAGUGAAUUCAGUCUUGCUUCUCUGUUUUUUAUUUAUUAGGCUAAAAUGUUGUAUUUGAUUGUAUUGAGUUGGGUAGAGUUUUGUGGAACCGGUAGUCAAUAGAGUUAUAGAACACAUAUUCUUGUAGGUUGUAACUUGUAAGUCAAUAUUAAAUUUAUCUUCAUGAAUGUAAGUGUCUAAAUAGGCAAAACAGUUGCAUUUUGACCUAUAGAAUUCACACUUUAGGAUGAGUUAGAUUCAUUCAGAUUUAUAAAAACAAACUAAAUCAGUAGGUGUAAUGAACACAAGCUGAAGCAAAAGAUAUACUAGUUCUUGAAUUAAGUUUUAUGCUUGAAGCAUUUCGCCUUAACAGACUGUUUCGGUUUUGACUUAUGGUGGUUUGUUAUUAUAUCGCCAAAAGACACAAAAACCAGUUGGUAAUACUCUUAAUAUAAAACUUAUAUAUGUAGAAGAGGUUGAUGUUCUUAAUUCUCAUGCAACUACCACAAUUUUAUAUAAUUUGAUAUUUAGUAAUUUAAUUUAUUUUCCCAACUUGAAAGUGCUAGUUUUGUAUUAUAGUUUCUCAACGUUGAAAGUUAAGAGAUUGUAAUGCUCUUAAGAUUAAAACCAUUAGUUUGUAACUUAAUUGUGUAAAGUGCAGUGGUGCCAAUCAACAACGUAGAGAAGAAAAAAUAGAAGCAUAAUGUAUAUCAGGUUUGGGUCAUCAGCUAGAUAUAAUAAUACAUGUGUGUUCAAUCUCUUCGCUUUGUUCGGAAAACAUGUUGCAUUUGUUCACUCCUUUGAAACUAGACUAAAUAGGUUGUGUGAUCUUGUUUGAUAAUAUUAAAUGCAAUUUAUGUACUAUUCAUUGCAUUCUUAGUAGUAUUUAAUGCAAUUUCAUGGUAUUCUUAUCAGUUGUGAUUAGAGUCACAUAGCCCACCCGGGCCCGUUUUAACCCGAACCGACCCGGACCUGUUUCAACCCGACAAAAUUGCCCCUUGAUGUGCAAUCUUUCUUUUUAAAAAAAAAAGCACUGUUUAACCAAACCGACCCGACCCGAAACCCGUUCUGACCCGGAACCGUUUCAACCCGAACCCGUUCUGACCCGAACCCGUCCGACCCAAACCCGUUUCGACCUGAACCAAAACAACCCUUUAUUGUAACUGACCCGUUUUGACCCGGACCCGUUUUGACCCAUGACCCAACCCGACCCGUUUGCCAGGUCUAGAUAUGACAGAUUGAUGAUAGAAUAACACUGAAUCUUAAAAUCAACAAAUUGAAAGUUAAAAUUAACAGUUUAUAGAGUUUAAAAAAUUAAACAAAUCUGGUGCGUGACACCGUGUGGUGGCAGGAGUGGACAACUGGUGGUCGCAUGUGUGUUUGCGUUUGGGACUAAAUAUGAAAUGGAAGGCAUAAAACAAAACCCUAAUUCGUUU
rnacentral:lncRNA from 1 species